GGCGGAAUAGCUCAGUUGGCUAGAGCGCGCGGUUCAUACCCGCUAGGUCGGGGGUUCAAGUCCCUUUUCCGCUA
rnacentral:tRNA from 1 species